CCUACGGGUGACAGCAGUAGGGAAUAUUUCUCAAUGGGGGAAACCCUGAAGCAGCAACGCCGCGUGGAGGAUGAAGGUUUUCGGAUUGUACACUCCUUUUGUUAGAGAAGAUAAUGACGGUAUCUAACGAAUAAGCACCGGCUAACUCCGUGCCAGCAGCCGCGGUCAGACGGAGUGUGCAAGCGUUAAUCGGAAUCACUGUGCGUAAAGGGCGCGUAGACGGGAUUGCAAGUCAGAUGUGAAAUCCUAUGGCUAAACCAUAGAACUGCAUUUGAAACUGUUAUUCUAGAGUGUGGGAGAGGUAGGCGGAAUUCGGGGGGGAGGGGUAAAAUGCGUAGAUAUAAGGAGGAAUA
rnacentral:rRNA from 1 species